rnacentral:rRNA from 1 species
CUUGGUCAUUUAGAGGAAGUAAAAGUCGUAACAAGGUCUCCGUUGGUGAACCAGCGGAGGGAUCAUUACCGAGUUUACAACUCCCAAACCCCUGUGAACAUACCUAUACGUUGCCUCGGCGGAUCAGCCCGCGCCCCGUAAAACGGGACGGCCCGCCCGAGGACCCUAAACUCUGUUUUUAGUGGAACUUCUGAGUAAAACAAACAAAUAAAUCAAAACUUUCAACAACGGAUCUCUUGGUUCUGGCAUCGAUGAAGAACGCAGCAAAAUGCGAUAAGUAAUGUGAAUUGCAGAAUUCAGUGAAUCAUCGAAUCUUUGAACGCACAUUGCGCCCGCCAGUAUUCUGGCGGGCAUGCCUGUUCGAGCGUCAUUUCAACCCUCAAGCUCAGCUUGGUGUUGGGACUCGCGGUAACCCGCGUUCCCCAAAUCGAUUGGCGGUCACGUCAAGCUUCCAUAGCGUAGUAAUCAUACACCUCGUUACUGGUAAUCGUCGCGGCCACGCCGUUAAACCCCAACUUCUGAAUGU